rnacentral:lncRNA from 1 species
GUUUUUAUGAGAAGCUUAGGAAUAAUCAGUAACAGCUGAUCUAGUAUUGCAGAGGGGUGACACUGAGAGUUCACAAUGCUUUUUCAACCUCAUCAACUUCUAUUAUUCCGUGCAUGUAUAUGUUGUACGUUAUGUUGCAUAUAUUCUCAUCAUGUAUAUGAUUUAAGAUAUGUAAAUUGUAUUAUUUUAUUAUGUAUUAUUUUCUUGUAUAUAUAUUUCACACACAUAUAUUGCUCACAGAUCAAAGUAUGCUGGCAGUGUAGAGGCACGGCCUGCUGGAAGAGUAGUUUCAUCUCUGGAUUUCUAGUUUUUCGCACUGUGGAAGGAAAAGCUCAUCAGGCUAAUAACAAUGAAGACUGCUGUAUUUGCCAGAGUUUGUUCUGCAUGACUUGCAAUCAAGUUCAACAAAUCCUUCUAAACUGCUAUUUUUUCUUUCUUGUGUUGGGCUAAAUCACAGGCACUGUCUAAACCGCUUCCCAGGCAUCAAGCAGACAGCAAACGUCCGCAGCGAGCUCUAGUUCAUAGCAUCAUAGAACACAGAAUCAUUAAAGUUGGAAAAGACUGCUAAGAUCAUUUAGUCCAGCCAUCAAACCAUGUCCACUAAAUCAUGUCCCCUUGUGCCACAUCUCCAGAGUUCUUGAAGAAGUCUAGGAAUUGUGACUCCACUAUCUGCCCAGGCAGGCUGUUACAAUGCAUUACCACUCUUUCUGAGAAGAAAUCUUUCCUAAUCUCUAACUUGAACCUCUCCUGGUGCAACUUAAAGCCAUUAAGUCCUGUUUUAUCAGCCAUUACCUCUCGUCCUAUUGAGAAGUUCAUGUCAUGUUUUUUCAAGCUACACAAGUUAAGCCUCAUCUUGCACUUUGAACAUAUCUAAGGGAAAAGAGGAAGCUUCCAGAAUAUGUUUUGCUGCUUCAAAUUAUUGCUCUGGUUUUCAGUGCUAUAAAAGCUCCAUCCCUUAUAGGUCUCCAUUGGUACCUGCCUGGUUGGAGUCAUCUGUCUGUGCCACACCAGAUCAGUUCAGCCUCAGGGAGGCUCAGACUAAUAAACCAGAGCAUCUGUGGAGCA